rnacentral:lncRNA from 1 species
UUAACUUAAUAUUUAUUAUUACAAAGCUACCCUGUGUUGUAGCUCAUAUUAGUGUUAUGGUCUUACUUUUGAUAAAUGGCAACUCAUUGUAUUGUAUUCCAUUUUGUCUACAUAUCAGUUGGCAGAAAUGAGAUUUUUCCAUGGUUUGUCUAUGAAUAAUAUCGCCAUAAUUACCAGUGUGCUUUUUAUUCAUGUACAGACCGGCGUUCUCAUUUUUUCUUAGAUACCAAUGCAAUUUUUAAUUUAAAAUAUACUUACAAUAUUUCUCACAUACCUGUACCUCUACACUCCCUCUCAAAUUAAUGGAAUUUUUUUUUUUUUGGUUUGUUUCUUCUAGAUGGAGUUUUACCUGUGUAACAGAGCUAUGGCUGCCCUGAAACUUGCUUUGUAGACCAGGUUGGCCUUGAACUCACAAGAUCUGCCUGCAUCUUUCUCCUGAGUGCUGGGAUGAAAGGAGUGUAUUAUUCUGCCUCAUGAUUCUGCCUCAUGAUUCUUUAAUUAUUAGUGUGUCUGUGUGUGUGUAUGUAUGUGACUAUAUAAGUGCAACCUACUAGAUCUUUUAGUGUUGUUUCUAUGUACAUAUUUUAGGGCUGACUACUUGGUAAUGUGAUAAUCAUGUAGAAGGCCUCAUCACUGUGGAGGACUAAUUUCUCCAUCUCUCAGCAGUCAUUAAUUUCCUGUAGCUCUUUAUAUAAGGAUAGGGUGCCCUUGAGAUUCUUCUCAUCCAUAUUGACCUCUCAACUGGUGGUAUCAUUCUUCAGGCCUUAUUUAGGAAGUCAUAUUGUUGACAUGUCAUGAAUAUAGCUCCUUUCUCAUAUCUAGAAGACACAUCACAUCAGGAUAUUCCUGGUUCUUUGGCUCUUACAAUUUCUUUUGCCCUUACUUAUGCAAUUUUUUUGCUGAACACUAGGUGUAGGGAUUGUUUUGCAGAUGUCUCAGCUCAGAGGGCUAGACAUCUUAGAGUCAUUUUGUCUCGGUCGUUUAAUCAGUUGUAGCUUCCUAUAAUGAUCUCUCUUUCCAACAAAAAAUCUUCUAUGAUGAGAGGUGACAGAUACUACCACACUUUAUGGAAACAGAAUAAUGUUUAAGUGCAUUCAAAUACUUGUCCUCAUCCCUGAAUCCCAAACUGUCUAAUAGCAUGAACUGACUAGAUUAAGCAACACACAUUUACUUGCAUUAGUCUUUCGAAGUUCUAAUUUCCAAACAUCUUCAGGUUGGGGAGUAGGAGCUCACCAUUAGAUUUUUACAGAAGCAUAACUCAUCUGACGUUAACCAUUACACUCUGGGUCUUAUUUCUAGGUGAAGUGGCUAAGAGGCAUUGACCACUGAGAGGAAGUCAGCUGAGUAUGGAGAGGGGCUGAUUACCCAUUAAGCCCAGAGCAAGCAGGUGAGGGAGAGAAAAGUCAGAAACUCACAACCAAAGCCAAUAUCAGGAGCUGGCCCACAAGUCAAACAGGAAAAUAAAGCAAAGAGAUAACGAACAAGUGGGUGUGAAAGUAAUGUUUAGCAGGCAGAGCCUAAGGAGCUGUGCUUGGUUGGAGUCAGGCAUAGAGGCUGGCAAAGUACAGAGCAUUCUAAUAUUUGAAGAAGAAAAUGGCUAUAGGCUUCCAAUGUGAUCCAAGUUGUCAGAAAAGAUAUUAGAUGAGAGGCCAUUUUGCAUGUGCAUAAGAGCUAGAAAAUUAUGUUGUCUCUAAGGAUGCAGAGGGACCUGUGAUGGCGGCUGAGACAAUGGGGGUGAAUUCUUCAUGUAUUCUUUUGUGUGUUUCUGAAAAUGCUGAGCAACUUCUUGUUUGAUGAUCUGUUAGAAUUCUGUACCUUAUCCACAGGAUCCUGGGGAUUUUUGAGUUGGGAGAUUUUCUUUUUUUAUUGGGUAUUUUCCUCAUUUACAUUUCCAAUGCUAUCCCAAAAGUCCCCCAUAUGCUCCCCCCCACUCCCCUACCCACCCACUCCCACUUCUUGGCCCUGGCGUUCCCCUGUACUGAGGCAUAUAAAGUUUGCACGACCAAUUAGCCUCUCUU